rnacentral:rRNA from 1 species
GCUCAGAAACUUAAAGGAAUUGUACGGGGACCCGGCACAAGCGGUGGAGCAUGUGGUUUAAUUCGAUGCAACGCGAAGAACCUUACCUACCCUUGACAUGUAUAGAAUCCUAAAGAGAUUUGGGAGUGCCCGCAAGGGAGCUAUAACACAGGUGCUGCAUGGCUGUCGUCAGCUCGUGUCGUGAGAUGUUGGGUUAAGUCCCGUAACGAGCGCAACCCUUGUCCUUAGUUGCCAACACGUAAAGGUGGGAACUCUAAGGAGACUGCCGGUGAUAAACCGGAGGAAGGUGGGGAUGACGUCAAGUCCUCAUGGCCCUUAUGGGUAGGGCUACACACGUGCUACAAUGGUUGUUACAGAGGGAAGCGAAGCCGUGAGGCGGAGCGAAUCUCAGAAAGGCAAUCGUAGUCCGGAUUGAAGUCUGGAACUCGACUUCAUGAAGUCGGAAUCGCUAGUAAUCGCGGAUCAGCAUGCCGCGGUGAAUACGUUCUCGGGUCUU